rnacentral:rRNA from 1 species
UACGGGGGGAGCAAGCGUUGUUCGGAUUUACUGGGCGUAAAGGGCGCGUAGGCGGCCAGCACAAGUCAGUUGUGAAAUCUCCGAGCUUAACUCGGAAAGGUCAACUGAUACUGUGCGGCUAGAGUGCAGAAGGGGCAACUGGAAUUCUUGGUGUAGCGGUGAAAUGCGUAGAUAUCAGGAAGAACACCAACGGCGAAGGCAGCUCGCUAGGACGGUACUGACGCUGGAGACGCGAAAGCGUGGGGAGCGAACAGG